UGCGUAGGUGGCCAGGUAAGUUUGGUGUGAAAGCUCGGAGCUUAACUCCGAAAAGUCAUUGAAUACUAUCUGGCUGGAGGGUCGGAGGGGAGACUGGAAUUCUCGGUGUAGCAGUGAAAUGCGUAGAUAUCGAGAGGAACACCAGUGGCGAAGGCGAGUCUCUGGACGACUCCUGACACUGAGGCACGAAAGCCGGGGGAGCAAAC
rnacentral:rRNA from 1 species